UGGGGAGUCGCCAAGCGGUAAGGCAGCGGCCUUUGAAGCCGCCAUACGAUGGUUCGAAUCCAUCCUCCCCAGCCA
rnacentral:tRNA from 2 species